UGGCGGCAGGCCUAACACAUGCAAGUCGAGCGGUAACAGGGGUAGCUUGCUACCCGCUGACGAGCGGCGGACGGGUGAGUAAUGCAUAGGAAUCUGCCCGAUAGUGGGGGAUAACCUGGGGAAACCCAGGCUAAUACCGCAUACGUCCUACGGGAGAAAGGGGGCUUCGGCUCCCGCUAUUGGAUGAGCCUAUGUCGGAUUAGCUAGUUGGUGAGGUAAAGGCUCACCAAGGCAACGAUCCGUAGCUGGUCUGAGAGGAUGAUCAGCCACAUCGGGACUGAGACACGGCCCGAACUCCUACGGGAGGCAGCAGUGGGGAAUAUUGGACAAUGGGGGCAACCCUGAUCCAGCCAUGCCGCGUGUGUGAAGAAGGCCCUCGGGUUGUAAAGCACUUUCAGCGAGGAAGAACGCCUAUCGGUUAAUACCCGGUAGGAAAGACAUCACUCGCAGAAGAAGCACCGGCUAACUCCGUGCCAGCAGCCGCGGUAAUACGGAGGGUGCAAGCGUUAAUCGGAAUUACUGGGCGUAAAGCGCGCGUAGGUGGCUUGAUAAGCCGGUUGUGAAAGCCCCGGGCUCAACCUGGGAACGGCAUCCGGAACUGUCAGGCUAGAGUGCAGGAGAGGAAGGUAGAAUUCCCGGUGUAGCGGUGAAAUGCGUAGAGAUCGGGAGGAAUACCAGUGGCGAAGGCGGCCUUCUGGACUGACACUGACACUGAGGUGCGAAAGCGUGGGUAGCAAACAGGAUUAGAUACCCUGGUAGUCCACGCCGUAAACGAUGUCGACCAGCCGUUGGGUGCCUAGAGCACUUUGUGGCGAAGUUAACGCGAUAAGUCGACCG
rnacentral:rRNA from 1 species